rnacentral:rRNA from 1 species
GAUGAACGCUGGCGGCGUGCCUAAUACAUGCAAGUCGAGCGAACAGAUGAGGAGCUUGCUCCUCUGACGUUAGCGGCGGACGGGUGAGUAACACGUGGAUAACCUACCUAUAAGACUGGGAUAACUUCGGGAAACCGGAGCUAAUACCGGAUAAUAUAUUGAACCGCAUGGUUCAAUAGUGAAAGACGGUUUUGCUGUCACUUAUAGAUGGAUCCGCGCCGCAUUAGCUAGUUGGUAAGGUAACGGCUUACCAAGGCAACGAUGCGUAGCCGACCUGAGAGGGUGAUCGGCCACACUGGAACUGAGACACGGUCCAGACUCCUACGGGAGGCAGCAGUAGGGAAUCUUCCGCAAUGGGCGAAAGCCUGACGGAGCAGCGCCGCGUGAGUGAUGAAGGUCUUCGGAUCGUAAAACUCUGUUAUUAGGGAAGAACAAAUGUGUAAGUAACUAUGCACGUCUGGACGGUACCUAAUCAGAAAGCCACGGCUAACUACGU